AACUAUGGCCAUGCCACCCUGAACAAGCCCAAUCCCGUCUGAUCUCAGAAGCUAAGCAGGGUCAGGCCUGGUUAGUAGUUGGAUGAGAGACCGCCUAGGAAGACCAGGUGCUAUAGGUG
rnacentral:rRNA from 1 species